CUGACCUCAAACGUGAUUACCCGCUAAACUUAAUCAUAUCAUUU
rnacentral:rRNA from 1 species